UACAGAUGGUGCGAGCGUUAAUCGGAAUUACUGGGCGUAAAGCGCACGUAGGUGGCGACGUAAGUCGGGUGUGAAAGCCCCGGGCUCAACCUGGGAAUUGCAUUCGAGACUGCAUUGCUGGAGUACGGAAGAGGAAGGCGGAAUUCCCGGUGUAGCGGUGAAAUGCGUAGAUAUCGGGAGGAACAUCAGUGGCGAAGGCGGCCUUCUGGUCCAGUACUGACACUCAAGUGCGAAAGCGUGGGGAGCAAACAGG
rnacentral:rRNA from 1 species